ensembl:snRNA U6 U6 spliceosomal RNA
GUACUCUGGCAGCACACAUAUUAACACUGGAAUGAAACAAAGAUUAGUGUGGCCCCAGCACAAGGAUGACAGACAAAUUCGUGAAGCACUCCAUAUUUUA